rnacentral:tRNA from 1 species
AGUUAAUGAGCUUGAUUUAAGCAAUUGUUUUGAAAACAUUUGAUAGAAACUAAAAUUUUCUAUUAACUU